UACGGAGGGGACUAGCGUUGUUCGGAAUUACUGGGCGUAAAGCGCACGUAGGCGGAUUUGUAAGUCAGGGGUGAAAUCCCGGGGCUCAACCUCGGAACUGCCUUUGAUACUGCAAAUCUCGAGUCCGGAAGAGGUGAGUGGAAUUCCUAGUGUAGAGGUGAAAUUCGUAGAUAUUCGGAAAAACACCAGUGGCGAAGGCGGCUCAUUGGACUGGUAUUGACGCUGAGGUGCGAAAGCGUGGGGAGCAAACAGG
rnacentral:rRNA from 1 species